UAGGGCGGGACACGUGGUAUCCUGUCUGAAUAUGGGGGGACCAUCCUCCAAGGCUAAAUACUCCUGACUGACCGAUAGUGAACCAGUACCGUGAGGGAAAGGCGAAAAGAACCCCGGCGAGGGGAGUGAAAAAGAACCUGAAACCGUGUACGUACAAGCAGUGGGAGCACAGGUUUACCUGUGUGACUGCGUACCUUUUGUAUAAUGGGUCAGCGACUUAUAUUCUGUAGCAAGGUUAACCGAAUAGGGGAGCCGGAGGGAAACCGAGUCUUAAUUGGGCGUUAAGUUGCAGGGUAUAGACCCGAAACCCGGUGAUCUAGCCAUGGGCAGGUUGAAGGUUGGGUAACACUAACUGGAGGACCGAACCGACUAAUGUUGAAAAAUUAGCGGAUGACCUGUGGCUGGGGGUGAAAGGCCAAUCAAACCGGGAGAUAGCUGGUUCUCCCCGAAAGCUAUUUAGGUAGCGCCUCGUGAAUUCAUCUCCGGGGGUAGAGCACUGUUUCGGCUAGGGGGCCAUCCCGGCUUACCAACCCGAUGCAAACUGCGAAUACCGGAGAAUGUUAUCACGGGAGACACACGGCGGGUGCUAACGUCCGUCGUGAAGAGGGAAACAACCCAGACCGCCAGCUAAGGUCCCAAAGUCAUGGUUAAGUGGGAAACGAUGUGGGAAGGCCCAGACAGCCAGGAUGUUGGCUUAGAAGCAGCCAUCAUUUAAAGAAAGCGUAAUAGCUCACUGGUCGAGUCGGCCUGCGCGGAAGAUGUAACGGGGCUAAACCAUGCACCGAAGCUGCGGCAGCGACGCUUAUGCGUUGUUGGGUAGGGGAGCGUUCUGUAAGCCUGUGAAGGUGGCCUGUGAGGGUUGCUGGAGGUAUCAGAAGUGCGAAUGCUGACAUAAGUAACGAUAAAGCGGGUGAAAAGCCCGCUCGCCGGAAGACCAAGGGUUCCUGUCCAACGUUAAUCGGGGCAGGGUGAGUCGACCCCUAAGGCGAGGCCGAAAGGCGUAGUCGAUGGGAAACGGGUUAAUAUUCCCGUACUUGGUGUUACUGCGAAGGGGGGACGGAGAAGGCUAUGUUGGCCGGGCGACGGUUGUCCCGGUUUAAGCGUGUAGGUGUGUGUUCCAGGUAAAUCCGGUUCACUUUAACACUGAGGCGUGAUGACGAGGCACUACGGUGCUGAAGUAACAAAUGCCCUGCUUCCAGGAAAAGCCUCUAAGCAUCAGGUAACAUCAAAUCGUACCCCAAACCGACACAGGUGGUCAGGUAGAGAAUACCAAGGCGCUUGAGAGAACUCGGGUGAAGGAACUAGGCAAAAUGGUGCCGUAACUUCGGGAGAAGGCACGCUGACAC
rnacentral:rRNA from 2 species